rnacentral:rRNA from 1 species
GACGAACGCUGGCGGCGUGCUUAACACAUGCAAGUCGAGCGGUAAGGCCCUUCGGGGUACACGAGCGGCGAACGGGUGAGUAACACGUGAGUAAUCUGCCCAUCACUUCGGGAUAACUCCGGGAAACCGGUGCUAAUACCGAAUAUGACCACUUCAGGCAUCUGAUGGUGGUGGAAAGUUCCGGCGGCGAUGGAUGAGCUCGCGGCCUAUCAGCUUGUUGGUGGGGUAGUGGCCUACGAAGGCUUCGACGGGUAGCCGGCCUGAGAGGGUGACCGGCCACACUGGGACUGAGACACGGCCCAGACUCCUACGGGAGGCAGCAGUGGGGAAUAUUGGACAAUGGGCGAAAGCCUGAUCCAGCAACGCCGCGUGAGGGAUGACGGCCUUCGGGUUGUAAACCUCUUUCAGCAGGAACGAAGCGAAAGUGACGGUACCUGCAGAAGAAGCACCGGCCAACUACGUG